UAAAAAGGCUGCUGGGAGUUUCCUUAGGGAGACAGUGGGGCAGGCAUGCAGUUUAAGUACUGGAACACUGCUCUGGCACGUGGUGUAGACUGGCUACAUACUUCUAGGCCCCGUGGCUCCAACUGCCCCACAUAAAGCCAAACACAAUGAGGCUAAGCAGCUUUGCUAGGCCUCUGCAGUUUCAUGGGAACACUUGUCCUGUGGCCUCAAUGUCUUGUUGCUGCAAUUAUCACUGGCCCAUCAUGUCACUAACAGAGCAGCUCUGGUCACCUGUAGCUGACACAUCACCCAUGCAGCCGGGGAGAGGGAGGGAGUGCUGUUAAUCCAUGCACAGUAGCCUCAGACAGUCCCGAAAGCUUGAGGGCCUUAUCUGUGACAUUCCCGUGCCUUCUGAGGUAACCUGGGGCCAGGUCCCCACAACAUGCCGUGGACAGGGCAGCUCUGGUCUAGACGCAGAGGCUUGGGUAUACGGGACAUGUCUUGGGAGGAAAUGUGAAAGAUGGCACCUACAGCUGCUAGUGUUACUGACCUGACUUUCCAGAGGCAUGUUGUAGACCUCGGAGUCCAGGAGCAUUGUGCAUGCACUGAAUGGCACGGCCUGGUUGGCAAUGGUCCUGGCUGCCCGGCAAUGAACCCGAAGAAUCUCUUGCUCGCAGGACACAAUCAGCUUCUCCUGAAGAAGGAGAGGAACAGGACGAACAUGCAGUGGUGACGGCAGAUCAGGGUUGGGGCAGCACGUGCUGCUGCUCCCUGUGAGCCAGAAGAGAAGUGACAACACAGACACACCCACAGACUGGACCUUUCUGGACCACACAGGAAGAUGCAUCGUUCCAGGUGAAAGACCUGGGCAGCGAGCAACAAUGCAGUGACUGGCAGGCAAAUCCAGCCGAGAUUUGAGAAUACAGUCUCUCAGUCUUUCACUGAGGAGAUUCACCAUCGUCGGGGAGCUGGCUACUUUCAACGGUGUCUCGCCUUUUCUGUUGCUCUGCUGAGGAUUCCCACCAUACCGUAACAACAACUUCACCACCUACAAAAUACGAGGAAUGGCAUUAACAGACUGUCGGAAAAAUGCUGUUACCCUGUCAUGCCUGGAGAAGACACAGGCUAGGACAUUCUAACCCCUGGUGUGGGGUGCUGUGUGCAGAGCCACUCCUCAGCAGUCAUCUGCAUGAGCAGAGCCACUUGCUGACGCUCAGAGAGCGGGUAUCCAGCUCGGAUCCCAGACAGCCCCAUGCCGAACAACAGCCCGGACUUUCGGGCAACAGGUUCCUUCUUGAUCCUCUUCCGCUCAGGACCCUGCUUCUCUGUGUGGCAGGUGAGGGAGAAAGGGAGGGGAGACUUCAUGCCCAAUCCUCGAAGCCAAAGUUUUAAUUAGCGUUACAGAGCCCCUUCAUUCCACCCAACAGCUUCCAGAGCAACAAGGCAGGCCUAUGAGGGGGUGACCGUGCUGGGAGCACUGACGUCACCCCACUCUGUGAGAGACACAAUGUCAUACCCUGUUGUCAGCCCAUCAGGAACCUCCAUUUCAUGCCAUGGUGCUUCGAGGACCGUACCAGCCUUGCAGUACCACAACAUGGACUGAGCUGGAGGCAUCUAAAGGCAUCAACACAGAGCACUAACAAGAACGAUGUAACAGCUCAGCUGUUCCAUCUUAACCGCUCCUAACAAGCAGGCCCUGGGCGCCUCUGACCGGUGACAAGAGACUGUGGCGCUGCUCUAAGAGGUGGGAUGCAGAGAACGACCCCAGAGUCCAUGACUUGGGAACACAGAGGCUCUCACUUUGAAUCCUGCCUUCUUAAAAACUAAAUUUGUGGCUUGGUGACUUAGAAGAUUUUUUUAAUGUUACAAGCCUGUAGGCAGCGACAUGCACCUGUUUAACAAUUCAUGGUCAAACUCUCCUAAACACUUUAGACCACCACCAGCUAGUAGUUUUAAAUAAGCCAUGGUAUAGAGAUACGAGAAAAUAAAAAAGUAUUAUAUGAGAA